AGCAAAACGUGAAGCAAGAAGAGUAGGUUUAAGCAUUUUCGUUACAGAGAAUCGGUGAAUGGUGUGAUCCCGAUACGAAGACUUUUACUGAAUGGACUUGCGAGUGGUUUUCUGAACGCCCAUUUGAACUACCAUGAAUGGGCAAGUAGGAAAACACGACAUUCCGUCGUUACAUGGAUAGGGUUUAGGAGGCUAACUCCUGUACCUGAAAAAGAUGGAAAAGAGACCCUUUUCCAACUGAGGUGGCACCGCGGUGAAGAUCGCCCUCAAA
rfam:Bacillus galactosidilyticus strain PL133 scaffold000081, whole genome shotgun sequence.